rnacentral:lncRNA from 1 species
AGGCCGCGGACUGCGAGGCGAGCGAGCGGGGCGCGCGGCCCGGGAACUUCCUCGGGCUCCCCCGGGGCUGGGCGAGCGGCACGCGGGCGCUGCUGGCGUCGGAGCGGCCGAGAGAGAGCCGGCGGGCGGGCGCGCGAGAAAGGAGGCCGGACGAGGGAGGAAGGAGGAGGGGGCCUGCCUCCGCCGCCGCCGCCGCCGCGGCGCCGACCCCGCCUCCCGAGAAGGAAGGCCGGGAGAGCCGAGCCGGGAGAGCCUGCCACGCACGCGGGGGCCGGCACGGCCCCUCCCCCUGCCGCCACGACCCCAAGGAGGGGGCCGAGCCGGGGGCGGCGCGGCGGGGUCCACGCGGCGGGGGUGGGGGUGGCUACGAGGCCCCGGGUGGGAGGGCCGGGGCGAGGGUGGUGGCCGAGCGCGGUCCGGGGCGGCUGGUGGGAGGGGGGCGGGUGUCCCGGCGGGGUCUACGGAGGCCGGGGCAGGCGACUGAAGUGGCCGAGUGGGAGGGGGCAAGAGGCGCGGACGUAGGGAGGGCGGCUGGCCUGGGUCUUGCUGAGGCGGGGACCGGGAAUCGAGGUGGCCAAAGGGAGGAGCGCAGGGCUGGGUCGACCGGCGGCCGAGACUGGCUACUGAGCAGGGGCCACGAGGGCCCCAGGGAUAGGCGGCUGAAGUGGCGGUGGCCCAGGAGGAUCGGCGGGGAGGAGAGCCGGGGAUGAGCUUUUUUGCCUUGGGCCGAGUUCGAGACCCCCUUCCUUCGACCUAUUCCGAGAGAGGAAAUGAAGCGGGAGGGGGGGGUUGCGGAGGGGGGCUCCCGGGAGCCGGGUCCCUGGGAGUGGGAGUAAGGAGGUGGAACGGACACCUCCGGAACUUUGCCCCUGGGAGUUGGGGAAAUCCCGCCUCCCCAUCCAUCCCAGCCUCUAAACCCGCCACGGGGUUGGGCCUUGACUCUUUCCUGGAGAUUGAAGGCGGAGGCAGAAGGAGCUGUCGAGAAACCAGUUGGCUCUGCAGAGGGUUCCUGCAGUCUGUCCAGAGCCCAACUACGGACGGGCUCUGUGCUGUGCCCUGGGGAAGUCUGCAGGGAGGAAGAUGGGGGCUGCCACCCCUAGUCUGGUAGAAAGAAAUAAAACACAUCUCGGCAUUUAACA